rnacentral:rRNA from 1 species
AUGGGUGAGUAACGCGUGGACAACCUACCUUGUAAAGAGGAAUAACCUCGAGAAAUCGAAGCUAAUACCCCAUAAUAACCUUAAGUCGCAUGAAUUGAGGAGGAAAGGCGGCCUUAGUGCUGUCGAUACAAGAUGGGUCCGCGUCUGAUUAGCUAGUUGGUGAGGUAAAGGCUCACCAAGGCGACGAUCAGUAGCCGGCCUGAGAGGGUGAACGGCCACAUUGGGACUGAGACACGGCCCAAACUCCUACGGGAGGCAGCAGUGGGGAAUCUUCCGCAAUGGGCGAAAGCCUGACGGAGCAAUGCCGCGUGAGUGAAGAAGGCCUUCGGGUUGUAAAACUCUGUCCUUAUCGAAGAGAGAGAGUUGUAGUAACUGACAACACUAGGACGGUAGAUGAGGAGGAAGCCCCGGCUAACUAUGUGCCAGCAGCCGCGGUAAAACAUAGGGGGCAAGCGUUGUCCGGAAUCACUGGGCGUAAGGGCGCGCAGGCGGUAAAUUAAGUCAGGUGUGAAAGUUCGGGGCUCAACCCCGUGAUUGCACCUGAUACUGAUAAACUAGAGUGUUGGAGAGGUAAGUGGAAUUCCUAGUGUAGCGGUGGAAUGCGUAGAUAUUAGGAGGAACACCAGUGGCGAAGGCGACUUACUGGCCAAUAACUGACGCUGAGGCGCGAAAGCGUGGGGAGCAAACAGGAUUAGAUACCCUGGUAGUCCA